rnacentral:rRNA from 1 species
AGUGAACGCUGGCGGUAGGCCUAACACAUGCAAGUCGAACGGCAGCACAGUAAGAGCUUGCUCUUACGGGUGGCGAGUGGCGGACGGGCGAGGAAUACAUCGGAAUCUACUUUUUCGUGGGGGAUAACGUAGGGAAACUUACGCUAAUACCGCAUACGACCUACGGGUGAAAGCAGGGGAUCUUCGGACCUUGCGCGAUUGAAUGAGCCGAUGUCGGAUUAGCUAGUUGGCGGGGUAAAGGCCCACCAAGGCGACGAUCCGUAGCUGGUCUGAGAGGAUGAUCGGCCACACUGGAACUGAGACACGGUCCAGACUCCUACGGGAGGCAGCAGUGGGGAAUAUUGGACAAUGGGCGCAAGCCUGAUCCAGCCAUACCGCGUGGGUGAAGAAGGCCUUCGGGCUGUAAAGCCCUUUUGUUGGGAAAGAAAAGCAGCAGGUUAAUACCCCGCUGUUCUGACGGUACCCAAAGAAUAAGCACCGGCUAACUUCGUG